GUUCUUUGCAUGCCUAAUUUUCCUCUCAUCCUCUUUUGUUGUAUUCACAGUGUUUUUUUUCUGGACAAUGGUUCUGCAUCUUUGCAGGAGGAUUAUCAGGCCUGAGUGACAUUUGUGGGAAAAAAAUCGUUCAAAGCUAGGUGUUCAUUGCUGUUAUUGUUCCUAAUUUGAAGGGGACUGAGAUUUCUACCUAGGAAAUUCAAGUUGUGUUACCUUCAAAUGAUCGGACAUCUGAAAUAAAUUAUAUGUAGGCAAUACUGAUGAAGCCCAGUCGUAUGAGCUGAGGGCUCAGACCGUCUCGCCGCGUUGGAUCUGAUCUUAUAUGCAAAGCUAUUGAGCAGAUGCUGAUCAUUUAAUGUUGUGACAGUAAUAAGAGUUGUCCGUAUUUCUUCUUUCAUGUACUAUAAAUACAAGAGACAUAUGUGCUACACUACUUUUGGACAAACUGUAAUGGGUUGUCCUCGUUACAUGUACAACCAGUGUAAUGGAUCUGAGCUCAUAUUUUCUCUGCCGCUUUUGUGUUUA